rnacentral:lncRNA from 1 species
AAUACUUAAGAAAUACAAAUUACGACUUUCUGUAAAUAUGAACAAAGAGGUGUUGGGUAUAUAUCAUUUAGAUAGCAUACAUUAAACACGACCAGAUCAAUGCUUGUUUUGGACCUGCUACAUCAUAUACUCCAGAAAGACGUCAUAUUGUUUUUACAAAUAGAUAUCUAGAAUAAGAGUGGAGAUAAGGAAAGUGAAUCGCAACUCUUAGCUAGCAAAAAUGGAUAUGAUAUAAGAGUACACACGCUCAAUGUCUCACUUGUAUUACCAACAUAAUCGAUAUUAUGAUGACAGUCCUAAAGAAAAAUUUACCUAUCACAUAAACUUAACAUGUUCAGUGAUCCAUGAAAACGAGGUCAAGAUCAGAUAAACCCCAACAUGUUAUAGUAGUCUCAGGAUAAACCAAGUCAGUUAUGUUCACCUCACAAUCAUUCC